rnacentral:rRNA from 1 species
GACGAACGCUGGCGGCGUGCUUAACACAUGCAAGUCGAACGGAAAGGCCCUGCUUUUGUGGGGUGCUCGAGUGGCGAACGGGUGAGUAACACGUGAGUAACCUGCCCUUGACUUUGGUAUAACUUCAGGAAACUGGGGCUAAUACCGGAUAGGAGCUCCUGCUGCAUGGUGGGGGUUGGAAAGUUUCGGCGGUUGGGGAUGGACUCGCGGCUUAUCAGCUUGUUGGUGGGGUAGUGGCUUACCAAGGCUUUGACGGGUAGCCGGCCUGAGAGGGUGACCGGCCACAUUGGGACUGAGAUACGGCCCAGACUCCUACGGGAGGCAGCAGUGGGGAAUAUUGCACAAUGGGCGGAAGCCUGAGGCAGCAACGCCGCGUGCGGGAUGACGGUCUUCGGGUUGUAAACCGCUUUCGCCUGUGACGAAGCGUGAGUGACGGUAAUGGGUAAAGAAGCACCGGCUAACUACGUG